GAAGGUUCUGAUAAUAGUUUUUAAAAAUAUAGAACAAUUUAUCAUUUUGUAUUGUCUCAAAAACAUGAAUAUGCUUUCAUUUGAGUUGAUCCUUUUGUUCGCUUUCUUGCUCUUCUCGAAAGGUUAGUUUAAAUAAUUUAUUAGAUGAUAAGAUUGGAUUUAUAUAUCGAAGUAGGAGAUAUUAUAUUUCGAUAUUCUUGAUUAUUUUUUAUUUUAAGGAUUGUUCUAUCUCAAUUGAAAAAAAAACAAAAACAAAUAACAUUAUACGAACUAAUCUAUAGUUUUGUUUACGUGUUAUAUUAUAUUUCGUUAUUCUUGAUUAUUUUUUAUUUUAAGGAUUGUUCUAUCUCAAUUGAAAAAACAAAAAACAAAUAACAUUAUAAGAACUAAUCUAUAGUUUUGUUUACGUGUUGCUUUUGUAAUUUUUUUCAUGUUGUCUUUUUUUUUUUUGCUUUUGAUUUCAUAUAUUCUUUUUAAAGAUCGUUUUGAUGUUUUGAGUUUAUAAGAAUAUUUCGCCUUUUUUUUUCUAUAUUUGAUCCACAUUCUCCUUUAGUUUAGUUUCUCGAUUUUUUGCUUCUUAAAUUCAAUUUUUAUUUUUUAUUUGAUGGUUAAAAAUGGUUUAGGUUUUUGUUUUGACUAACAUUUUAAUUUGUAUUCAAAUAAUCAAAUUUAAAAGAAAUUAUUUACUAUUCAUUUUAGUUUCACAUGUUCUCUUUGUCCAUUUACGUGACAAGUAACUUUUUGGAGAGUUAAAUUAGUUUUUUCUUUGUCUACAAUGUUUUCGUAUGUCUAAUAGGUAUGAUUUAUUAUACUUUUUCUAAAUAUAAAGAUGUUUUAUAUGUUUGAAUAUCUCUGAGUAAAUUAGAUGGUUUGACACUCGCAAUAAUCGUGUCAAUAUUGAUAUGAAGUUUGUACAUUUUUCAACAGGGUAUGCACCUUCGGUGACACCAUGUGAGCAAACAAUAAAUUGCAAUAUUAAUUGCGGAGACAAAGGGACUCCAAUUUGCGCAAACAAUACUUGUUGGUGCCAACGUUGUGACUUAUAUCCCCCUGAUGAUGUUGAAGAUGAAUCUAAUUUUACAAGACAAAAGUGAUUUCAUGUAAAACUUUGUCUGAAUAUUGGUGGUGACUCUCAUAAAAUAAUACAGUAAUAUUAUGUUUGAUUGGUCAAA
rnacentral:lncRNA from 1 species